rnacentral:rRNA from 1 species
CCUGCCCAGUGAAUUAAUUUUUAAACGGCCGCGGUAUCCUAACCGUGCAAAGGUAGCAUAAUCACUAGCCCUCUAAAUAAGGGCCCGUAUGAAUGGCAACACGAAAGCUUAACUGUCUCCUCUUUAAUAUAUGAAACUUCUUUGGCCGUGCAAAAGCGGCCAUAAAAGCGCCAGACGAGAAGACCCUAUCGAGCUUCAGGAAAAAAAGAACAAUAAAAACCUUAACUCGCUGAUAAACCAAAUUCAUUGACUUUAACCACAAAUUAAACUAUAUUCCCCUCUUUCUCUUCCUUCGGUUGGGGCAACCACGGAGAAAAAACAUCCUCCACACCAAAUUACUUCUAAAGACAUUACCUCCCAGACAUAAUCCUAAUGGCACAUGAUCCGGUCAACCCGAACAAUAAACAAAGUUACCGUAGGGAUAACAGCGUAAUCCCUCCUAAGAGCCCACAUUGUCGGAGGGGUUUGCGACCUCGAUGUUGGAUCGGGGUACCCAAACGGUGCAGCCGCUGUUAAU